GACGAACCGUGCGAACGUUGUUCGGAAUCACUGGGCUUAAAGGGCGCGUAGGCGGGCCCGCAAGUCAGGGGUGAAAUCCCACGGCUCAACCGUGGAAGUGCCUUUGAUACUGCGGAUCUCGAGGGAGGUAGGGGCGUGCGGAACUUCCGGUGGAGCGGUGAAAUGCGUAGAUAUCAGGAAGAACACCUAUGGCGAAGGCAGCACUCUGGGACGGUACUGACGCUGAGACGCGAAAGCGUGGGGAGCGAACAGG
rnacentral:rRNA from 1 species